rnacentral:rRNA from 1 species
GAAAGCCGGUGGAAACAUUGCGGUCCCUCUUCGGAGUGCCGUGCACAGGUGCUGCAUGGGCUGUCGUCAGCUCGUGUGCGUGAGAUGUUGGGUUAAGUCCCGCAACGAGCGCAACCCUCGUCCCUAGUUACCAGCGGGUUAUGCCGGGCACUCUAGGGAGACUGCCGGUGUCAAACCGGAGGAAGGUGGGGAUGACGUCAAGUCAUCAUGGCCCUUACGUCCAGGGCGACACACGUGCUACAAUGGCCGGUACAGAGCGUCGCCAACCCGCGAGGGUGAGCCAAUCGCCAAAAGCCGGUCUAAGUUCGGAUUGUAGUCUGCAACUCGACUGCAUGAAGCCGGAAUCGCUAGUAAUCGUGGCAUCAGCCCACGCCACGGUGAAUAUCACGUACCCGGGC